ensembl:lncRNA
AGACUGAACGGGCAGAUUCACACACACAAAAGCAGUGCCGAUGCAUCAGAAGGAAUCAUGGGCCAUCAAUGCUGCUGAGGAUCUACUUCAAAGAGUGCUAUGCUUCAAAUUGGACUCGAGACAGAAGGAUGUACUACUCUGUAGGAGUACUUUACUUUGAUCACCUUCUAAUGAAGAGAUUCUCCGGCAUUGCCACCUGUCAUGCUGCCAUCCUGCCACAUAAUGCACUUUCUACAGAAGAAUCACCUGAAGUUAUCUGUGGAAAGCCAUUUGUGAUUGUAAAAUUACCAGCCAAGAGGAUUAAAAGUGUUAAAGUUUUGGGUAUGUCCAGGCAAUUGCCUCGUGCAGUUCUUUGGAAUAGUCACCAUACUGUGUUUGUCAAACGCUCCACAGUCAAGGUAAGACCUGUACACUGUAUAAUCAAAUUUUGCUGCCAUGUUUUUGUUGUCUCUUAAAUUUUACAAUGUAUUAAUUUUGCUACCUCUCUAAAGGAUGGUAUUUUCCGGCUGGAUUAUCUUGAUGUGGCUGGAAAAUUGCAGACAGUCAUGUUGUCCUGUGUUCAACAGACGUUUAAAAAGGACAUCAGAAAACGAAGACAAAACCCUUUUGAUUUUAUUCGGGAAUAUGAUUCAGUACCUACUGUUGGGGCAAAUUUAGGUCUUUUGGACUUUGAAGUCAAACCCACUGUUCCUUGUGGGGAAUUUGAAAAAACACCUAAAACGACCCAAAUGAUGCUUGCAUCCAGCACAACAACAUUUUCAGACCCCAGUACAUGGACAAACACAAAUCCCUUUAGGUCACCUGAGAUAACUAUUGGAACAACCCAGAAAGCAGAAACCUCAAGUGCUGCUACACAGUCAAGUGGAAUGACCAAAACUGUAACUUCUGUUGUUGAUGCUGAUGCAGAAUUUGGGACCGAUUUUUAUGUCAAACCCACUGUUCCAUGUGGGGAAUUUGAAGAAACUCCUAAAACUACCCAAAGGAUACUUCCAUCCAGCACACCUAUACAUCCUAAUCCCACUUCAUGGGCAAACGUAGAUCCCUUCAGGCCACCAGAUAUAACUCUUUGUACUACCAAAGAAGGGGAAUCCUCAAAUGCAGCUACACAACCAGACAGGAUCACCAAAACUGCAACUCCUGUUGUUGAUGCCGAUGUAGAGUUUGGGACCGAUUUUGACCUUUCCACACCCACUGUUCCAUGUGGGGAACUUGAAAAAAACCUUAAAACUACCCAAAGAACACUUUCAUCAAGUAUUCCCACUCAAACAGGCCAGUCUACAUUGAAAAGCACAAGACAUGACUCUGAAUGGGGUUUCUCGGAUAUCCCAUUGACUCCUUUGAGUUCUGCAGAAACAACUCACUCAGUUAGCUCAACAGAAAUUAUAUUGAAAACAUUCACACCUGUUAUGACAACUGCUGGAGCAACAACCUUACCUGAGACCAUGCCUUAUUUAACAUCUGUUGCUGGAACCACAAUAGCUCUGAUAACAACUUCUGCUGAAACUACUUUUCUAGACACCACUUCCAUAGAAACUACUUCUCCGAGAACUAAUACUGCUGAAAUAAUGCCCUCCAUUAGUUCAACAAUAAAUAUUUUAGGAGCAUCCACAAAUGUAAUGACAACUGUUGGAGCAACAAUCUCACCUGACCCAACACCUGCCGCAACGUUUGCUGUUGAAACCACAAUGGCUAAAACUACCACAGAGACUGCAACCCUUGCCACCACUGCUGAAGAAACUACUAACUUUGUCACCUCUUCUGCUGACAAUACAUCCUUAGUUAGUUCAACAGGAAUAGUAUUGGAAACGUUGACACCAGUAAUGACCACUGCUGGAAAAACAACUGCAGCUUUAACCAAGCCUGGCUUAACAUCUGCUAUUGAAUCAACAAUGAAUCAAACUAGCGCUCCUUCAGAAACUACUACCCUUGGCAUCACUUCUGUUGAAAGCACAACCCAGAGAACCACUUCUGCAGGACCUUCUACCCUUGGAGCCACUUCUGUAGAAAGCACAACCCUGGGCACAACUUCUGCAGAAACAACAUCCUCUAUAAGUUCAACAGGAAUCUUGGAAACAUCCAUGCUUGUAAUGACAACUGCUCAGACAAUGGCAUCCAGCUUAACUACCCCUGCCUUAACAUCUGCUGUUGAAACCACAUUGGCUCAAACUACCCAUUUUACAGAAAUUAGUACGCUUGAGGGCAUUUCUGCAGCAAGUACCUCACUUGACACCCCUUUUGUAGGAAGUACAACCUUGGGCACAACCUCUGCUGAAUCUACUACCCUUGGCAUCACUUAUGCAAAAACCACUUCUACUUCUGUAGAAAGCACAACCCUGGGCACGACUUCUGGAGAAACUACCACCACUUCUGUAGAAACCACAAGCCUGGGCACAACCUCUGCUGAAUCUACUACCCUUGGCAUCACUUCUGCAGAAACCAUUUCUACUUCUGUAGAAAGCACAACCCUGGGCAUGACUUCUGCAGAAACUACUACCACUUCUGUAGAAAGCACAACCUUGGGCACAACCUCUGCUGAAUCUACUACCCUUGGCAUCACUUCUGCCGAAACCAUUUCUACUUCUAUAGAAAGCACAACCCUGGGCACGACUUCUGCAGAAACUACUACCACUUCUGUAGAAAGCACAACCCUGGGCACAACUUCUGCAGAAACUACUACCACUUCUGUAGAAAGCACAACCCUGGGCACAACUUCUGCAGAAAGCACAACCCUGGGCACAACUUCUGCAGAAAGCACAACCCUGGGCACAACUUCUGCAGAAACGGCUAUCCUUGGCAUCACUUCUGCAGAAACUACUACCACUUCUGUAGAAAGAACAACCCUAGGCACAACUUCUGCAGAAACUACUACCACUUCUGUAGAAAGCACACCCCUGGGCACAACUUCUGCAGAAACUGCUACCCUUGGCAUCACUUCCACAGAAAUUGCUACCACUUCUGCAGAAAGCACAACCCUUGGCACAACUUCUGCAGAAACGGCUACCCUAGCCAUCACUUCUGCAGAAACUACUACCAUUUCUGUAGAAAGAACAACCCUAGGCACAACUUGUGCAGAAACUACUACGAGUUCUGUAGAAAGCACAACCCUGCGCACAACUUCUGCAGAAACUACUACCACCUCUGUAGAAAGCACAACCCUGGGCACGACUUCUGCAAAAACUACUACCCUUGGCAUCACUUCUGCCGAAACUACAACCACUUCUGCAGAAAGCACAACCCUGGGCACAACUUCUGCAGAAACGAGUACCCUUGGCAUCACUUCUGCAGAAACCACUUCUAAUUCUGUAGAAAGCUCAACCCUGGGCACGACUUCCUCAGAAACUCCUACCACUUCUGUAGAAAGCACAACCGUGGGCACAACCUCUGCUGAUGCUACUACCCUUGGCAUCACUUCUGCCGAAACUACAACCACUUCUGCAGAAAGCACAACCCUGGGCACAACUUCUGCAGAAAGCACAAC